rnacentral:lncRNA from 1 species
CGAGGGGGCAGCCGCCCCUCCGCCGCCUCUCAGGUGGCCGCAGCCCCUCAGGAGCAACGCCCCGGGGCUCCAAGGGGGUGCCAGGGGCACGGGGGUGUCCCCCGACAUGGCAGGGGGACGUGUGGGGGUAGCCGGCCUGUCAGGUGGCUGUCGCCGUGUGUCUACCGAGAGCCAAACCCGCCGGCUCCCAGUCUUCGUUAAUUACCCCGGGAGAAACUGCAAGGAAGAGGACAGACACUUGAGGAAUGCUGAGUUUUUUGUAAGGGUUUUGCGCACAGAGAAGACUCAGAACACAUCUUCUGUAGCACCAGUCUGGAGGUGA